rnacentral:rRNA from 1 species
GACGAACGCUGGCGGCGUGCUUAACACAUGCAAGUCGAACGAUGAUGCCCAGCUUGCUGGGUGGAUUAGUGGCGAACGGGUGAGUAACACGUGAGUAACCUGCCCUUGACUUCGGGAUAACUCCGGGAAACCGGGGCUAAUACCGGAUAUGAGCCGUCCUCGCAUGGGCGGUGGUUGGAAAGUUUUUCGGUCAGGGAUGGGCUCGCGGCCUAUCAGCUUGUUGGUGGGGUGAUGGCCUACCAAGGCGACGACGGGUAGCCGGCCUGAGAGGGCGACCGGCCACACUGGGACUGAGACACGGCCCAGACUCCUACGGGAGGCAGCAGUGGGGAAUAUUGCACAAUGGGCGAAAGCCUGAUGCAGCGACGCCGCGUGAGGGAUGAAGGCCUUCGGGUUGUAAACCUCUUUCAGCAGGGAAGAAGCGCAAGUGACGGUACCUGCAGAAGAAGCGCCGGCUAACUACGUGCCAGCAGCCGCGGUAAUACGUAGGGCGCAAGCGUUGUCCGGAAUUAUUGGGCGUAAAGAGCUCGUAGGCGGUUUGUCGCGUCUGGUGUGAAAACUCGAGGCUCAACCUCGAGCUUGCAUCGGGUACGGGCAGACUAGAGUGCGGUAGGGGAGACUGGAAUUCCUGGUGUAGCGGUGGAAUGCGCAGAUAUCAGGAGGAACACCGAUGGCGAAGGCAGGUCUCUGGGCCGCAACUGACGCUGAGGAGCGAAAGCAUGGGGAGCGAACAGGAUUAGAUACCCUGGUAGUCCAUGCCGUAAACGUUGGGCACUAGGUGUGGGGCUCAUUCCACGAGUUCCGUGCCGCAGCAAACGCAUUAAGUGCCCCGCCUGGGGAGUACGGCCGCAAGGCUAAAACUCAAAGGAAUUGACGGGGGCCCGCACAAGCGGCGGAGCAUGCGGAUUAAUUCGAUGCAACGCGAAGAACCUUACCAAGGCUUGACAUGCACGGGAAGCCACCAGAGAUGGUGGUCUCUUUGGACACUCGUGCACAGGUGGUGCAUGGUUGUCGUCAGCUCGUGUCGUGAGAUGUUGGGUUAAGUCCCGCAACGAGCGCAACCCUCGUCCCAUGUUGCCAGCGGGUUAUGCCGGGGACUCAUGGGAGACUGCCGGGGUCA